CACGCUGUAAACGAUGGGUACUAGGCUUGGUGGGACUUGACCCCUGCCGAGUCGGCGCUAACGCAAUAAGUACCCCGCCUGGGAAGUACGGUCGCAAGACUAAAACUCAAAGGAAUUGACGGGGGCCCGCACAAGCGGUGGAUCAUGUGGUUUAAUUCGAAGCAACGCGCAGAACCUUACCUGGGUUUGACAUCCUCUGACAUCCGUAGAAAUACGGCUUCUGUAGCAAUACAGCAGAGUGACAGGUGC
rnacentral:rRNA from 1 species